rnacentral:rRNA from 1 species
CCUACGGGUGGCAGCAGUGGGGAAUAUUGGGCAAUGGGCGCAAGCCUGACCCAGCAACGCCGCGUAAAGGAAGAAGGCCUUCGGGUUGUUAACUUUUUUUGACAGGGAAGUGUAGAAGUCGGUACCUGUCGAAUAAUCCACGGCGAACUACGUGCCAGCAGCCGCGGUAAUACGUAGGUGGCAAGCGUUAUCCGGAUUUACUGGGUGUAAAGGGAGCGUAGGCGGAAGUGCAAGUCUGGAGUGAAAGCCCGGGGCCCAACCCCGGAACUGCACUGGAAACUGUGCGGCUAGAGUACAGUAGGGGCAGGCGGAAUUCGUGGUGUAGCGGUGAAAUGCGUAGAUAUUACGAAGAACGCCAGUGGCGAAGGCAGCCUGCUGGACAGUAACUGACGUUGAGGCUCGAAAGCGUGGGGAGCAAACAGGAUUAGAUACCCGAGUAGUC